rnacentral:lncRNA from 1 species
GGAAUAGGAGACUUCUUCCGAACAAACAUUUUGACACUUUAGUGGAGGAAUGUGAAGAUGGUGCCACGAGUUUCUCCACAGGUCGACGCGCAGGCGCAGUGUUGGCCAACACUGCGCCUCUCCAUCGCAUUUCAGUGUCAGGCUUUAAACCUUGUAAAAAAACUGCAACUCCUAUUAACCGUCCAAAAAAUGUCGCAAACAAGCAAUGCAAGCGAUAAAGCUUCUCCAAUACUUCAGUCUUUUGGACCUGGAGACACUCCAGAAAGUGUCACAUCUUUUGUCAUGGAAACAAGCUCAGCGUCUAACUCAGAGGAGCAUGGCGACAGCAGAUCCUCCUCUACCUCGACAAACUUAAGCUGUUAUCCCUCCCCAGAGAUUUUAAGAAGAGAAGGUAGUGGUUUUAAAUCUACCCAGAAAUAUUUGUGUUUCUUCUGGACAGUUUGUCAUAUUUUUCAUGGCUUGUUUCUGCAGUGGAAACACAGACUUUCCUUAUUGGAGAGGAGAUGCUUGGGAUUAUCUGUAAUGUUAAAAACUCUACCCUGCUGGAUGACAGCCAUUCGAAGAGCAUCCACACGUAUCAUCCACCCAACAUGUCCACUAUUAUAGAUGUAUCCACACACGUUGCUGAAAAGAACAAUGAGAGCAGGUGAGUGGAUAUAUUAAUACUGCUUUAAAAAAAUAACAAAAUGAUUUUAAAUGUUGUUUCAGUGCUGACAUCUCUGGAAAGAAAGCUGUUGUGCAAUUAAUUUUUAAUCAACCAGUCUUUCCCCCCCCCCCCACAAAGCUACCAGAAGGAAACUCUCACUGAAAGUAAGAUACAAAUUGAUUCAUUUCAUUUAGGAAAUAUUAUUUUUAAGCUACACGAUUUAUAAGUUUCUCUGUUUUUAUAUUAUUAAAUCCAUUUUUAUAACCAAAUUAUACCUAUGUUUCUUUGUAAUCUGCAUCUACAGAUAAAUCUCCAGAGAUGAAACUUGCACAAGAUGUAAGAAAAAUAUGUCUUUCUACAUCAUUUUAAAUGUUUUUCGUUAAUCAACUGUGUUUAUUUCAGUAGCAGUUUACUAAUUGUGUUUUUGCCCUAGUUUGUUGGGAGAAGGCCCAUAGUGUGCAGAAAAAAGGUUUCAUUCAAAAGCCCGGUCAUUUCUGAGCCUCUGAAAGAGAAACGUGCUCCAUCGCCGUCAGGCAUAAAUGACACCAUCCGGAAACUAUCCCGAGUUUCUGAGCGGACGAAACCAGAUGCACAGAUGCCCAAAAUGGAUGAAAUCAGCUCUAAAAAAGAAAUACCGGUGACCCCAAAAAGGCCUGUCGAGACUGAGAAAACCAUGUUCUUUGACUUUACCAGCAACACUGACAUGGAUGCUCUCUUUCAGAACAUGAGAGAUAGAAGUGCAAAACUUAGGUGCUCAUUUUAUUUUCCUUUUACUGUAGGCACUCAAAGCCCUCUGGGUAAUAAUAGCAAAUCUGAGUUAACCUGAAGUUAACUCUGAUACUACAGUGUACAGUUGCACAACGUAGUUUUUGCCUAAAUGACAAUAUAAAAACAUGAUUGGAACGAACAUGCUCUCUGUGAGAAAUGACUCUGACUUUAGAAGACAUAGAUAAAUUAAUAACACAAAUACAAUGGCAAAAAAGAGAACUAGCUCAUAAAUUAGUUUGAUACAACACAUGAAUGCCUUCAAAACAGUAAAUGAUUGUAUUUUCUUCUUCAGUAUAGGACAUCAAGAAAAUAAACAUACUAAUAAGAGUUUUUAAACCUUAUAAAACUAUACAAGAUGUGGGUAUAUUUUAAUAUGUAAUGUCUGUUUCUAUAGCUCUGUUUCUUCUGUAACCUCUUUUAAUGUAUCUGCAUAUUCUAUAAAGAAAAAACAAUGUUAGAGCCUGUAUAUUUAAUUCUUGUAAUUCAAAUGUGUUGUGAAUGUUGAACACUAGGUGGCGCAUCUGUAUCAGUUUUCUUGUCCUCUUUAAAAAAUAAAAAUAAGAUAUAACACGUGUUAAACGUAUGCCAACGUUUUUAUUUUAAUAUUCACAAUUCUAUA